CCUACGGGUGGCAGCAGUGAGGAAUAUUGGUCAAUGGCCGGAAGGCUGAACCAGCCAUGCCGCGUGAAGGUCAGUGCCCUAUGGGCGUUAAACUUCUUUUGUGCGGGAGCAAUAAUGGUCACGUGUGGCCAGACGAGAGUACCGUACGAAUAAGCAUCGGCUAACUCCGUGCCAGCAGCCGCGGUAAUACGGGGGAUGCAAGCGUUAUCCGGAUUUAUUGGGUUUAAAGGGUGCGUAGGCUGUGAGGUAAGUCAGCGGUGAAAUGCCCCCGCUCAACGGGGUGAAGUGCCAUUGAUACUGCCUGGCUGGAAUGCGGAUGCGGUGGGAGGAAUGUGUGGUGUAGCGGUGAAAUGCAUAGAGAUCACACAGAACACCGAUUGCGAAGGCAUCUCACGAAUCCGCGAUUGACGCUGAUGCACGAAAGCGUGGGUAUCAAACAGGAUUAGAUACCCUUGUAGUC
rnacentral:rRNA from 1 species